GUCCACGCCGUAAACUAUCAAUACUCGUUCUCGGCGAUAUACAGUCGGGGACUAAGCGAAAGUGAUAAGUAUUGCACCUGGGGAGUACGAUCGCAAGGUUGAAACUCAAAGGAAUUGACGGGGCCCGCACAAGCGGUGGAGCAUGUGGUUUAAUUCGAUGAUACGCGAGGAACCUUACCAGGGCUUAAAUGUAGAGGGAAUUUAGUGGAAACAUUAGAGUCUUCGGACCGUCUACAAGGUGCUGCAUGGCUGUCGU
rnacentral:rRNA from 1 species